rnacentral:rRNA from 1 species
UACGUAGGGUGCAGGCGUUACUCGGAAUUACUGGGCGUAAAGCGUGCGCAGGCGGUCUUUUAAGUCAGAUGUGAAAUCCCCGGGCUUAACCUGGGAACUGCGUUUGAAACUGGAAGGCUUGAGUGUGGCAGAGGGGGGUGGAAUUCCACGUGUAGCAGUGAAAUGCGUAGAUAUGUGGAGGAACACCGAUGGCGAAGGCAGCCCCCUGGGCUAACACUGACGCUCAUGCACGAAAGCGUGGGGAGCAAACAGG